rnacentral:rRNA from 1 species
AGUGAACGCUGGCGGUAGGCCUAACACAUGCAAGUCGAACGGCAGCACAGUAAGAGCUUGCUCUUACGGGUGGCGAGUGGCGGACGGGUGAGGAAUACAUCGGAAUCUACUUUUUCGUGGGGGAUAACGUAGGGAAACUUACGCUAAUACCGCAUACGACCUACGGGUGAAAGCAGGGGAUCUUCGGACCUUGCGCGAUUGAAUGAGCCGAUGUCGGAUUAGCUAGUUGGCGGGGUAAAGGCCCACCAAGGCGACGAUCCGUAGCUGGUCUGAGAGGAUGGUCCGCCACACUGGAACUGAGACAAGGGCCCGACUCCCACGGGAGGCAGCAGUGGGGAAUAUUGGACAAUGGGCGCAAGCCUGAUCCAGCCAUACCGCGUGGGUGAAGAAGGCCUUCGGGUUGUAAAGCCCUUUUGUUGGGAAAGAAAAGCAGCAGGUUAAUACCCCGCUGUUCUGACGGUACCCAAAGAAUAAGCACCGGCUAACUUCGUG